rnacentral:rRNA from 1 species
CGAACGGUAACAGGAAGAAGCUUGCUUCUUUGCUGACGAGUGGCGGACGGGUGAGUAAUGUCUGGGAAACUGCCUGAUGGAGGGGGAUAACUACUGGAAACGGUAGCUAAUACCGCAUAACGUCGCAAGACCAAAGAGGGGGACCUUCGGGCCUCUUGCCAUCGGAUGUGCCCAGAUGGGAUUAGCUAGUAGGUGGGGUAACGGCUCACCUAGGCGACGAUCCCUAGCUGGUCUGAGAGGAUGACCAGCCACACUGGAACUGAGACACGGUCCAGACUCCUACGGGAGGCAGCAGUGGGGAAUAUUGCACAAUGGGCGCAAGCCUGAUGCAGCCAUGCCGCGUGUAUGAAGAAGGCCUUCGGGUUGUAAAGUACUUUCAGCGGGGAGGAAGGGAGUAAAGUUAAUACCUUUACUCAUUGACGUUACCCGCAGAAGAAGCACCGGCUAACUCCGUGCCAGCAGCCGCGGUAAUACGGAGGGUGCAAGCGCUAAUCGGAAUUACUGGGCGUAAAGCGCACGCAGGCGGUUUGUUAAGUCAGAUGUGAAAUCCCCGGGCUCAACCUGGGAACUGCAUCUGAUACUGGCAAGCUUGAGUCUCGUAGAGGGGGGUAGAAUUCCAGGUGUAGCGGUGAAAUGCGUAGAGAUCUGGAGGAAUACCGGUGGCGAAGGCGGCCCCCUGGACGAAGACUGACGCUCAGGUGCGAAAGCGUGAGGAGCAAACAGGAUUAGAUACCCUGGUAGUCCACGCCGUAAACGAUGU